rnacentral:SRP_RNA from 1 species
GCCGGGCAUUGUGGCGGGCACCUGUGGUCCCAGCUACUUGGGAGGCAGAGGCAGGAGACUCGCUUGAGCCCAGGAGUUGGAGGUUGCUGUGAGCUGUAAUGCCAGGGCACUCUGCCCAGGGGGACAGCUUGAGGCUCUGUCUCAAAAAAAAAAAAAAAAAAAAAAGAUCCUAGCUUCUUGUUCAGUUUCUUUUUCUCUAGCAUUUCUUUUUUUUUUUUUGAGACAGAGCCUCAAGCUGUCCCCCUGGGUAGAGUGCCAUGGCAUCACAGCUCACAGCGACCUCCAACUCCUGGGCUCAAGCGAGUCUCCUGCCUCAG